rnacentral:rRNA from 1 species
UACGUAGGGGCCGAGCGUUGUCCGGAGUUACUGGGCGUAAAGCGCGCGCAGGCGGCGCAUCGCGCCCGGCGUGAAAGCCCCCGGCUCAACCGGGGAGGGUCGUCGGGGACGGGUGCGCUUGAGGACGGCAGGGGCAGGUGGAAUUCCCGGUGUAGUGGUGAAAUGCGUAGAGAUCGGGAAGAACACCCGUGGCGAAGGCGGUUCUCUGGGACGGUACUGACGCUGAGACGCGAAAGCGUGGGGAGCGAACAGG